rnacentral:rRNA from 1 species
CCUACGGGUGGCUGCAGUGGGGAAUAUUGGACAAUGGGCGAAAGCCUGAUCCAGCCAUGCCGCGUGUGUGAAGAAGGCCUUCGGGUUGUAAAGCACUUUCAGUGGGGAAGAAAGCCUUGGGGCUAAUACCCUCGAGGAAGGACAUCACCCACAGAAGAAGCACCGGCUAACUCCGUGCCAGCAGCCGCGGUAAUACGGAGGGUGCGAGCGUUAAUCGGAAUUACUGGGCGUAAAGCGCGCGUAGGCGGUCUGAUAAGCCGGUUGUGAAAGCCCCGGGCUCAACCUGGGAACGGCAUCCGGAACUGUCAGGCUAGAGUGCAGGAGAGGAAGGUAGAAUUCCCGGUGUAGCGGUGAAAUGCGUAGGGAUCGGGAGGAAUACCAGUGGCGAAGGCGGCCUUCUGGACUGACACUGACGCUGAGGUGCGAAAGCGUGGGUAGCAAACAGGAUUAGAUACCCCUGUAGUC